rnacentral:lncRNA from 10 species
GGCCUUAUGUUAGUCUACUUGAAUAAAAAGACAGUCAAUGAGGUCAGUUUUCAGGUUUGGGUAUUUUGAUUACCUUUCCCCUUAGUUGUUUUAAAUGAGCAAAGGAGUAAUGGGGUUUUCCACCACAUAACAGAAUAUCUAUGAGUCAUCAGUGUCCUGAGAAGCUAAACGUCCUACUAAGGAUCCUGCAAAGGGAAAACAGAAGAGGAACUUGCACUUUUUGAGAACUUGCUGUGUGCCAUAAGCCUAAGUCCCUAUGUGGGAAGGAUUCUACCCACACAUGACAGAGGAGGAGACUGAAGCAUGGAAAAGAAAUGGCGUUUUGCUGGAGAAAGCAGCAUAGCGGAAUGUAAAGCGGUAAAGCGUGUAUGCUCUGGAGCCACAGACCUAGAUGGUGAAGUCUAGCUCUGGUACUUGACAGGUCCCAUUCUCCAUCAUCUCCACCCUGCUCUGUGACCCAGUCGGCUGCUCUGCUUGAACGACAUCAACAAGCUUCCUGCAUCCUCAUGUCUAGCUGAACUCAACCAGUGGGAAGUACCAGCAGGAGAUCAAAAGAAAGGAGCAAAGUACAGUCAAGAUGUUUAUUUAUUUCUCUGUUCUUUUCUGCCAAAGGUACACAAAAUCAGACACUAGUUAAAGGCAUUCAGGACAGAUUUUAUAUGGUAAUAACUAUCGCAAUGGAGUAGAGAGUCCAGUGUGAACUGAACUUCACCAAAACAAAAAGCUGGAGUCUUUUUAAAGGCUGGGGUAUGCUAGGGGAAAGGCACUGACAGGAAGAAGAACAGGGCUUGGUCCAUGGGCUUAGGCCAUCUGAGUCUGUUAACUGGUGUUUAUCAAAGUUGGGUUCCUGAUCCCUGCAGAGACUAGGAGACAAGGGCCCUAUCUUCAGGUGCUGGCUGGAACAAAUAGUAAAUUCUUUUGGCAGGCUUUCCCA